AGCGAACGCUGGCGGCGUGCCUAACACAUGCAAGUCGAACGUGAAAGGGAGCAAUCCCACGUAAAGUGGCGUACGGGUGAGUAACACGUAGGUAAUCUACCCCAGAAUCUGGAAUAACCGGCCGAAAGGCUGGCUAAUACUGGAUAGAGCGACGGAAUCCGUAAUUGGGUUUUUCGGGAAAGGGAGCCUGUAAAAAGGCCUUCGUUCUGGGAUGAGCCUGCGUCCCAUCAGCUAGUUGGUGAGGUAAAAGCUUACCAAGGCAAUGACGGGUAGCUGGUCUGAGAGGACGAUCAGCCACACUGGAACUGAAACACGGGCCAGACUCCUACGGGAGGCAGCAGUGGGGAAUCUUGCGCAAUGGACGAAAGUCUGACGCAGCAACGCCGCGUGAGGGAAGAAGGCCUUCGGGUUGUAAAGCUCUGUCGAGUGGGACGAAAAUGCUUGGAGUUCACAGCUCCAGGAACUGACGGUACCACUAAAGGAAGCACCGGCUAACUACGUG
rnacentral:rRNA from 1 species